rnacentral:rRNA from 1 species
AUUGAACGCUGGCGGCAUGCCUUACACAUGCAAGUCGAACGGUAACAGGUCUUCGGAUGCUGACGAGUGGCGAACGGGUGAGUAAUACAUCGGAACGUGCCUAGUAGUGGGGGAUAACUACUCGAAAGAGUGGCUAAUACCGCAUGAGAUCUACGGAUGAAAGCAGGGGAUCGCAAGACCUUGUGCUACUAGAGCGGCCGAUGGCAGAUUAGGUAGUUGGUGGGAUAAAAGCUUACCAAGCCGACGAUCUGUAGCUGGUCUGAGAGGACGAUCAGCCCCACUGGGACUGAGACACGGACCAGACUCCUACGGGAGGCAGCAGUGGGGAAUUUUGGACAAUGGGCGCAAGCCUGAUCCAGCAAUGCCGCGUGCAGGAUGAAGGCCUUCGGGUUGUAAACUGCUUUUGUACGGAACGAAAAGCCCUGGGUUAAUACCCUGGGGUCAUGGCGGUACCGUAAGAAUAAGCACCGGCUAACUACGUGCCAGCCGCCGCCGUAAGAC